UCAAUAGCAGAGGAAUUCUUUCAGUCUUUUCCUGUGAACUCGUCUGUGUUAUAGUCUAUAAUCCUAUAACUCAGUAAGUUCACAUGGUCAAGGUUGGAGCCAUUGCGUCAUCUUAAUUU
rnacentral:precursor_RNA from 10 species